ensembl:ribozyme
AAAGGAUAACAAGGGGCCAGAGCAGAAGCAUUCACGUCGCGGCCCCUGUCAGAUUCUGGUGAAUCUGCGAAUUCUGCU